GAUGAAUGCUGGCGGCGUGCUUAACACAUGCAAGUCGAGCGGUAACAGGUCUAGUUUACUAGAUGCUGACGAGCGGCGGACGGCUGAGUAACGCGUGGGAACAUGCCCCAAAGUGAGGAAUAACUGCCCGAAAGGGUAGCUAAUACCGCAUAUGAUCUUCGGAUUAAAGGAUUUAUCCGCUUUGGGAGUGGCCUGCGUAUGAUUAGGUAGUUGGUGAGGUAAUGGCUCACCAAGCCGACGAUCAUUAGCUGGUCUGAGAGGAUGACCAGCCAGACUGGAACUGAGACACGGUCCAGACUCCUACGGGAGGCAGCAGUGAGGAAUCUUCCACAAUGGGCGAAAGCCUGAUGGAGCAACGCCGCGCGAAGGAUGAAGGCCCUCGGGUUGUAAACUUCUUUUAUAAGUGAAGAAUAUGACGGUAACUUAUGAAUAAGCACCGGCUAACUACGUGCCAGCCGCCGCGGUAA
rnacentral:rRNA from 1 species